GACAGAGGGUGCAAACGUUGUUCGGAAUUACUGGGCGUAAAGCGCGUGUAGGCGGCUUUGCAAGUCGGGUGUGAAAGCCCUCAGCUCAACUGAGGAAGUGCGCCCGAAACUGCAGAGCUUGAGUGCCGGAGAGGGUGGCGGAAUUCCCCAAGUAGAGGUGAAAUUCGUAGAUAUGGGGAGGAACACCGGUGGCGAAGGCGGCCACCUGGACGGUAACUGACGCUGAGACGCGAAAGCGUGGGGAGCAAACAGG
rnacentral:rRNA from 1 species